GAGGGACCACCACCCCGGUCUGCCAUCCCAGAGGCACUGUCCCCGACCGCCACGCGAUGUUGCACAGGCGUGUCAACCAAGACAGCCCCACAACAUCCAGAGACUUGAGGUACUCAGGGCGGAUCUCAUCCACCCCCGGUGCCUUGCCACUGAGGAGUUUCUUAACCACCUCGGUGACUUCAGCCCGGGUGAUGGACGAGUCCACCUCUGAGCCUUCAUCCUCUGCUUCCUCAAUGGAAGACGUGACGGCGGGAUUGAGGAGAUCCUCGAAGUACUCCUUCCACCGCCCGACGACAUCCCCAGUUGAGGUCAACAGCUGCCCACCUCUACUGUAAACAGCGUUGGUAGGGCACUGUUUCCCUCUCCUGAGGCGCCGGAUGGUUUGCCAGAAUCUCUUCGAGGCCAGCCGAUAGUCCUUCUCCAUGGCCUCACCGAACUCCUCCCAGGCCCGAGUUUUUGCCUCCACAACCACCCGGGCUGCAGUCCGCUUGGCCUGUCGGUACCCGUCAGCUGCCUCUGGAGUCC
ensembl:lncRNA